rnacentral:tRNA from 1 species
GCGGGUGUAGCUCAAAGGCAGAGCCCCAGCCUUCCAAGCUGGUUAUGGGGGUUCGAUUCCCCUCACCCGCUCCC